CGAGCUUGACGGAUGAUUUCUUCGGAAUGAAACCAGAUAUGACUUAGUGGCGGACGGGUGAGUAACACGUGAGCAACCUGCCUUUCAGAGGGGGAUAACGGCUGGAAACGGUCGCUAAUACCGCAUGACGUGUUCGGAUGGCAUCAUCUGAACAUCAAAGAUUUAUCGCUGAAAGAUGGGCUCGCGUCUGAUUAGAUAGUUGGUGGGGUAACGGCCUACCAAGUCGACGAUCAGUAGCCGGACUGAGGGGUUGAACGGCCACAUUGGGACUGAGAUACGGCCCAGACUCCUACGGGAGGCAGCAGUGGGGAAUAUUGCACAAUGGGGGAAACCCUGAUGCAGCAACGCCGCGUGAAGGAUGACGGUUUUCGGAUUGUAAACUUCUUUUCUUAGUGACGAAGACAGUGACGGUAGCUAAGGAAUAAGCAUCGGCUAACUACGUGCCAGCAGCCGCGGUAAUACGUAGGAUGCAAGCGUUAUCCGGAUUUACUGGGUGUAAAGGGAGCGCAGGCGGGACUGCAAGUUGGAUGUGAAAUACCGUGGCUUAACCACGGAACUGCAUCCAAAACUGUAGUUCUUGAGUGAAGUAGAGGCAAGCGGAAUUCCGAGUGUAGCGGUGAAAUGCGUAGAUAUUCGGAGGAACACCAGUGGCGAAAGGCGGCUUGCUGGGCUUUAACUGACGCUGAGGCUCGAA
rnacentral:rRNA from 1 species